rnacentral:rRNA from 1 species
CCCCUGCCCACGCCCCGCCCCCCUCGUCGGCCACCCCGCCGCCGGGCUCCACCCCGCCGCCGGGCACCGCCCCUCCUCCACGAGCUUCUCGCCGCUGGGUGCCGCCCCCUUCUCGCCGCCGGGCGCCGCGCCCUCCUUGCGCUCCUUUUCUCCGCCGAACGCCGACCCCUCCCUGCCACCGGGCGUCCGCCGUCCGGAUCCAGCGCCCAGCACCACCGUCUUCACGUGCCAUCCUGCUGGUUCGUACGGGAGGUGUUCGCCUCCUGCACCCGCCGGAUCUGGCCAUCCCCUUCCGUUCACCUCCGCCACCUGAGGCCGUUCACCACCGCCACCAGUCCCCGUUCAACACUGCCCCCACAAUCCCGCGCGUCAAACGACACACCUGUCAACCCACGCGAAGCUUCAAAAGAGGUCCAGUUCUGAACAUCAAAUACCCAGAGGUUCAGUUCUAAACUUGCAAUGUCUCCAGGAAUGUUACAACUGAAUUGCUUCAGUUUGAGUUAAUUUUGAAUCACAUGUGCCAUCUUGCGAUCGUUUGAAAUCAAUACAUUGCAUGGACAUAUCACAGAACGAAUGUUAAACAGGAUGGCAUGUAUGUCUCUACUCCUAUAAAAAACCGAGUUGGUGGUGAUGGUGUGCCUGCCUCCAUCAAUCUCAACCAUUAGAUCUGGAUCUGGAGAGGCAACCUACUUUAUAACCACCUUAUCCAACCAGGCAACCAGAAUCACUCGAUCCUUCUUGAAAAGGGGAGAACGAUGGAAACAAGCCUUGAUUUCUUGAUGGAACCAGUGGCCGCUGCCGCUGCCGCUGCAUGCGCCGCCGGCGCUGGUUGUUCCAGACCCCUCUCUUGACUCCUCUCUGCUGCCACCGCUCACUAGAACCUCCACCGCCACCUCCCCGUUGUCUCAUCUCCCCCUACCCCAUCUCCUCCUAUGCCGACCAGCAAGUACGCCGCCGGCGUGGCCCGUCCCUCAAGUCCACGACGCUUCUUCUCUGAUAACUCUCUUGCCUUCUUUUCUGAUGCAGCAGCCCCACCGCCCACCACCUGCUCCUCCUCCCCGGCAUUUCCUCGCCGCCGGAGCCGCCCUUCCCCCAAGUCUGCGACGCCUCUCCUGCAUCCUCCUCUGAUGCAGAAGCCCCAGCACCUUCGCCUCUCUCCGCUGUCUCCACCGACGCCGACCUUCGCGUAUGCCGGCUAUGCGCUACACAUCAUCGGCGGCGGCGGCUCCUUCCACGCCUACGUGCUCCAGGUUCUUCCAAUUAGAGUACGAGCUACUCCCCGAGGACUGCUUUGUUGUGUGCAAUUGGAGCGCCACCCACGAGCUCCACACUCGCGUUCUCCUCCAAUUGACUCCAUCUGGAAGAUGGCUGGUCUGGUGUGAUGUUGGCGUGGAGGAACUAUGCUCUGCUAUUGCCAUCUAAUAUGUUUCGUCAAGAACCAAGGUAUGGGUGUGGACGAAUAGUAAAAUCUUCUAUACAUCGCAUCAGUUCUUGCUUCAUCUCUAUUAGAAAAUCCUUGUUUGUGCAAUUUCAUAUAUGUUCUGGUGGUAACAGAUGAAACUGUCUACUAUAGUAUCUGUAAGCAAUGACCACUGUUUAUAGUUUCUUAUCCAAAAUCUUCUUGUGGAUGAAAUUUUGAGUAUCGGAGAAGUUGGUGUGUACCUCCCUGAACUGGUAUUUUCACUCAGGCAACUCUAUGUUACUCUUUGUAGAGAUACAUCUAAAAGUAACAUAAAUAUUCUUACUCUUUCGGAUAAGCAAGGGAAGGCCAGUCCAACCCCAUUGCAAAUUUUUCAAAGAAAUGUUCUACAAUUAGGUCUCAAUGUGUAGUCCAAGGUAUAAAUCAAGUACAAUUUGGUGGCAGUAAAAAUAAUAAUUUAUUUAAUAUGUUUAGUCAUCUAAAAUUGCUUCGCAUGUAAGGUCCGGAAGUUUGGACUUCCAGAAAAAGUAACUUCAGAAAUUUGCUUUAGUGUUCAUGAUAUUCUUGUAAAAAAAAUCAUACAUGUGUUUAAAUUAUUUUUUGGUAGUUCUCAUUGUUACUUUCGCUGUUCGAAAAAUUUGGAUGACGCCUACAGCAGGUCUCUAUGUCAUUGAUGCCCCUCCUUUUCUUGGUAGCUCCACAUCCAAUUUUUCAGGUUAGACACCAAUUUUUUUCCUUGAUGUCAGUUACUGGCAUCUUUUCUUUUGCAGAAAGUUACAAUUUUUGUGUGUGUAUGCACAAGUACACUCGCCCCUUCUUCUAUAUACACAUGAUUUCAAAGCAUGUCUUACUAUACAUUUUUUUCUUUGCUUGGUACAAAAUGUAUUGCAAGCGAUGUUCAUUGUUUUUUGCUUUGUUUAAAUAUACUUUAAGCUCAGUUUUUUUUCUUUGUCUGAAUGUAACAUAGGCAAUUAUGUAGGUGGGCAGAUGGAGAUAUACUGUGCUUUAAAAAUUAUUCCAUGGCGUGAUCUAAGGUAUGUAACUAAUUAAGUGGAACUAGAUGUGUGAGUUAUGUCUGAAAUGUUCUUCUCUUCUUGGUGGUGUUGUAUACAAAUUCAUUUUUCUUGCGUAUAUUUACGAAAUCAUUCGGUUAAACACUUCUACUUCAUUCAUGUUUGUCUUGGAACUAUUAAUAUAAGUGUGUACUAUUUGGAUAUAUUAAUUGCUGCAUUUAUCUUCACAUUUAAGUCCGGUGUGCCUAAUAUACUGGCAUGAAAUGGGCAAUGUUGACUUCCUGGAUGAACGGUAACUGAAUAGCUUGUUUGCUUUGUACAACCUUUCCAAGGAAAGAAGCAAUUCUCUGUUGCAGUAGUUUGUUGCAGUGGUUCUAAGGCUGGACAUGAUAAUAUGUAUUUUAGAUCACAGGCUGUGCUGGAAAUUUUGGAGGUCUGGUGUGGGGGCAGUUGUCGCAUCUUUUACAAUUUCACAAUUCGGAGUUAUCAGUUGUGACGCUCGCACGGCUUGCAAUUGACGAAGCCAAUGUUGGAAGGAUGUUGACGCAUGGAACAUCAUUUGACAUAGUAGUCUAGCUUAGUGAGCCCCGGUCAUUUUUUUGUACUUGUAUAUAAUCUCUUUUGCAUGCAAGUUAAGUGUUUUAUUUUUUUGUUUUCCUUUUUCAUGUGACUUCUCCUAGCCAAUUAAUGAUUGUGGUAUGUUUGUGAGACUAUAAUACACUUUUAGCAAACUACUUUUGCAAUAUUCAAUCUUGGUUGAUCA